UACGAAGGGGCUAGCGUUGCUCGGAAUUACUGGGCGUAAAGCGCACGUAGGCGGCUUUCUAAGUCGGGGGUGAAAUCCUGGAGCUCAACUCCAGAACUGCCUUCGAUACUGGAGAGCUCGAGUCCGGGAGAGGUGAGUGGAACUGCGAGUGUAGAGGUGAAAUUCGUAGAUAUUGCAAGAACACCAGUGGCGAAGGCGGCUCACUGGCCCGGUACUGACGCUGAGGUGCGAAAGCGUGGGAGCAACAGGG
rnacentral:rRNA from 1 species